rfam:Mesorhizobium sp. LNHC252B00 scaffold0002, whole genome shotgun sequence.
ACGAACUACCGUGGUGAUUUGGCCGGUCGGCUUGCAGCCACGUUAAACAACUUGCUAAAGGGCCGUUUGCAUCCUGUA